CGCAAGCCUGAUGCAGCCAUGCCGCGUGUAUGGAAGAAGGCCUUCGGGUUGUAAAGUACUUUCAGCAGUGAGGAAGGUGGGUAUGUUAAUAGCAUAUUCAUUUGACGUUAGCUGCAGAAGAAGCACCGGCUAACUCCGUGCCAGCAGCCGCGGUAAUACGGAGGGUGCGAGCGUUAAUCGGAAUUACUGGGCGUAAAGCGCAUGCAGGUGGUUUGUUAAGUCAGAUGUGAAAGCCCGGGGCUCAACCUCGGAAUUGCAUUUGAAACUGGCAAACUAGAGUACUGUAGAGGGGGUAGAAUUUCAGGUGUAGCGGUGAAAUGCGUAGAGAUCUGAAGGAAUACCGGUGGCGAAGGCGGCCCCCUGGACAGAUACUGACACUCAGAUGCGAAAGCGUGGGGAGCAAACAGGAUUAGAUACCCUGGUAG
rnacentral:rRNA from 1 species